UUGGAUCCGUGUGCAUGUUGUUGGGGUUAAUACUGAUCGUUGAUCUGGUGUGUGAUCAAUGGCUAAGGUUUUAUCAGAAAAGGCGGGAACCUCCCUCCCAGCGUUACUUUUUCCCAAUCUCCCCCAAAUUCACAUCUCCAAUCUCACACCGUACGUAUUCACAAUUGUAACCAACAGUCACCAUCAAUCUCACCACUGUAUUCUACCACUACCGAACACCACCACCGCACCGCACCACACCACACCAUCACUAACCUUCGAAACCCCACAGGACCAACACCGGACGAACCCCCUUAAGAUAAGAAGUGGUGUCUUCAGCCCGCGUGUGUGUAACCAGCCAUGUAUGAAGCCUGCUUCAAUAACAGGUUUCCGAUCUAAGGAAAACAUGUCUUGAAAAGUGGUCUUGAUCACCGGUGCUUCAUCAGGACUUGGAAAGCUUAUGGCAUAUGAAUACGCAAAACUUGGCGCGUAUUUAGUGAUUAUAGCCACAAAAAGCCAGAGAAUCGACUCGAGUUUGUAGCAAACAAAGCUCGUGAACUCGGCUCUCCUGAUGUUCUUUUUAUAUUUUGCGAUCCCACACCACUACAAGAAAUGUGAGUAUUAGGGACGACUUCGUUCGUUCAUGUUUCCGAUCGAAGGAAAACAUGUCCGGAAAAGAGGUGGUAUAUUCUAGUUCUUUUAUUUAAGUGAUAUGUGGACUCUACAGCAACUGAAUUAUGAUAUAUUAGAAUUUUCACCUUAGAUUUUAUUUGAAAUCUUUCAAUUAUAAGAAACUCAUAUAAGUAGUCAACAUGAUUAAGAAAUUGAUAUAAAGAAACUCAAUAUGAACAUUUUGAUUUUUUUACGGGUGAGUUCUUUUCCAACAUAAAAAAAUGGAUUUUGAGGAGUUUGGAGUAGCAGCCAUUAGCAUUCAUCAGUUGGAAGCAACUUGCACGUCACAGCUAUAAGCACUUCAAUAGAAAGACGAAAAUCGCCGCUAAAAGUAGCAGCCAUUAGCAUUCGCCACUAAAUUACCUAGUGGUUCGGCACUACAAGAAAUAGCAGCCUUUAGCGACCCUAUCACCGCCUCCUCUCCGCCAGUCGCCGGACCACCUCCUCAACAACGCCAAACCACUAGAUUAUGGGUAUUAAUCAUAUGUUUAGUAUGCCUUGCUGUCAAAUAUGGUUUCGUCACCAGAUGUUCUAUCUUCCUUUUUAGUUAAGCUGAGUGAAGCUGUACAUGAGGCAAUUUAUCCAGUUCCGGUUGCAAAUACGAAUUAAAGAUGUCGAUUUGGAUUGCAAGUAUAAAGACAUUGGUUCGGGAAGUUAUUGUAUAUCACUUUCAUCUUAGAGAUAUAUGUAUUUGCGUUACUUUGAAAAUUUUGUAAUUUUGUGUUACUUUCAAAUCUUUGUAAUUUACAUUUUUGGCUUAUAUUGGUUUAAUUUAAUUUUGUUUUUUGUAUUUUUUAUUUCCAUUUUUAGAUGAUUUGUUUAUAAUGGGAAUUUAUGAAGAAUUUUUAAUAAAAUUUACUGAAAAUUAUACCAAAAUAAAAAAAUAAAUUUUUUUAGCUUAAACACCAAAAGAUGCGGUUCUAGAACCGCAUCUCUUGAAUAUAUUGGGAAAAUAUAGUUUUUCCUUAAAUUAUCAAAAGAUGCGGGGUCUAAACCGCAUUUUUUGUAACCGCAUCAUUUGGCUUCUAGCCAUAAGAUGCCAUGCUAUAAGAUGCGGGUCUAGAACCGCAUCUUAUAGCCAUUUUAACCGCAUCAUUUGAUCAUUUUUGUACUAGUGAGUUGUGUGAAACUAUAAUGUUACAAAACAAAUUACCCUCUUUUCAUUUGCUCUCCACACAAGGGUUAGAACAAAAAAAUAGUUAUAAUAUUCAAUAAGAUUGUUACCAAUCGGUCUAUAAGUAUGUCUGUUUACACUUAAACAUUCUUGU
rnacentral:lncRNA from 1 species